rnacentral:rRNA from 1 species
GAUGAACGCUGGCGGCGUGCCUAAUACAUGCAAGUCGAGCGAACAGACGAGGAGCUUGCUCCUCUGACGUUAGCGGCGGACGGGUGUGUAACACGUGGAUAACCUACCUAUAAGACUGGGAUAACUUCGGGACACCGGCGCUAAUACCGGAUAAUAUAUUGAACCGCAUGGUUCAAUAGUGAAAGACGGUUUUGCUGUCACUUCUAGAUGGAUCCGCGCCGCAUUAGCUAGUUGGUAAGGUAACGGCUUACCAAGGCAACGAUGCGUAGCCGACCUGAGAGGGUGAUCGGCCACACUGGAGCGGGGACACGGUCAAGACUCCUACGGGAGGCAGCAGUAGGGAAUCUUCCGCAAUGGGCGAAAGUCUGACGGAGCAACGCCGCGUGAGUGAUGAAGGUCUUCGGAUCGUAAAACUCUGUUAUUAGGGAAGAACAAAUGUGUAAGUAACUAUGCACGUCUUGACGGUACCUAAUCAGAAAGCAACGGCUAACUACGUG